GGUUGUUUGGCCGAGCGGUCUAAGGCGCCUGAUUCAAGGAAAACAUCUUUGGCUGUAGAAAACUACAGGAAUACUCAGGUAUCGUAAGAUGCAAGAGUUCGAAUCUCUUAGCAACCA
rnacentral:tRNA from 1 species